GUGAAUCAUCGAAUCUUUGAACGCACAUUGCGCCCUCUGGUAUUCCGGGGGGCAUGCCUGUUCGAGCGUCAUUACACCACUCAAGCCUAGCUUGGUAUUGGGAGGCAUCCUAGUUAGGGUGCCCCCGAAAAUUAGCGGCGGUGCAGCCGGAACUCUCAGCGCAGUAACUUUUAAUCUCGCUGUAGGAGUCCGUUUGUUCCGGCCGGAUAAUCAAUUGUCCUCGUGGCAGUUAACUUUUCAAUGGUUGACCUCGGAUCAGGUAGGGAUACCCGCUGAACUUAAGCAUAUCAAUAAGCGGAGGA
rnacentral:misc_RNA from 1 species